rnacentral:rRNA from 1 species
UACGUAGGUGGCAAGCGUUGUCCGGAUUUACUGGGCGUAAAGCGUGCGUAGACGGUCAAGUAAGUCGGGUGUGAAAGCCCCGGGCUCAACCUGGGAAUUGCGAUGAAGACUGCAAGGCUUGAAUCUGGCAGAGGGGGGUAGAAUUCCACGUGUAGCAGUGAAAUGCGUAGAGAUGCGGAGGAACACCGAUGGCGAAGGCAGCCCCCUGGGCUAACACUGACGCUCAGGCACGAAAGCGUGGGGAGCAAACAGG